rnacentral:rRNA from 2 species
UGGCGGCCUUAGCGCGGUGGUCCCACCUGACCCCAUGCCGAACUCAGAAGUGAAACGCCGUAGCGCCGAUGGUAGUGUGGGGUCUCCCCGAUGCGAGAGUAGGGAACUGCCAGGCA